GAUGAACGCUGGCGGCGUGCCUAACACAUGCAAGUCGAGCGGGGUUAAGGGAAGUUUUCGGAUGGAACUUAACUUAGUGGCGGACGGGUGAGUAACGCGUGGAUAACCUGCCUCACACUGGGGGAUAGCAGCUGGAAACGGCUGGUAAUACCGCAUAAGACCACAGCACCGCGUGGUGCAGGGGUAAAAGAUUUAUCGGUGUGAGAUGGAUCCGCGUCUGAUUAGCCAGUUGGCGGGGUAACGGCCCACCAAAGCGACGGUCAGUAGCCGGCCGUGGAGGGUGAACGGCCACAUUGGGGCGGAGACACGGCCCAAACUCCUACGGAGGCAGCAGUGGGGAAUAUUGCGCAAUGGGCGCAAGCCUGAUGCAGCAACGCAGCGUGAGUGAAGAAGUAUUUGGGUAUGUAAAGCUCUAUCGGCAGGGAAGAAAGGCCCGAAAGGGAGAUGACGGUACCUGACUAAGAAGCCCCGGCUAACUACGUGCCAGCAGCCGCCGUAAGAC
rnacentral:rRNA from 1 species